CUUCCAAAUGAUGAUAAAUUACCGCCCCAGUCUGAUUUGCUAUGACUGAUAGGUUUUCUGAAUAAAG